rnacentral:rRNA from 1 species
AGUCGGCCUGCGCGGAAGAUGUAACGGGGCUAAGCAAUACACCGAAGCUGCGGCAAUAUCUUUUAGAUAUUGGGUAGGGGAGCGUUCUGUAAGCCGUUGAAGGUGAAUCGUAAGGUUUGCUGGAGGUAUCAGAAGUGCGAAUGCUGACAUGAGUAACGACAAAGGGGGUGAAAAACCUCCUCGCCGGAAGACCAAGGGUUCCUGUCCAACGUUAAUCGGGGCAGGGUGAGUCGACCCCUAAGGUGAGGCCGAAAGGCGUAAUCGAUGGGAAACGGGUUAAUAUUCCCGUACUUCUGACUAUUGCGAUGGGGGGACGGAGAAGGCUAGGUGGGCCAGGCGACGGUUGUCCUGGUUCAAGUGCGUAGGCUUGAGAGUUAGGUAAAUCCGGCUCUCUCUAAGGCUGAGACACGACGUCGAGCUGCUACGGCAGUGAAGUCAUUGAUGCCAUGCUUCCAGGAAAAGCCUCUAAGCUUCAGAUAGUCAGGAAUCGUACCCCAAACCGACACAGGUGGUCGGGUAGAGAAUACCAAGGCGCUUGAGAGAACUCGGGUGAAGGAACUAGGCAAAAUGGUACCGUAACUUCGGGAGAAGGUACGCUCUUGAUGGUGAAGUCCCUCGCGGAUGGAGCUGACGAGAG